UACGGAGGGGGCAAGCGUUGUUCGGAUUUACUGGGCGUAAAGGGCGCGUAGGCGGCCACCGCAAGUCGACUGUGAAAUCUCCGGGCUUAACCCGGAAAGGUCAGCCGAUACUGCGGGGCUAGAGUGCAGAAGGGGCAACUGGAAUUCUCGGUGUAGCGGUGAAAUGCGUAGAUAUCGAGAGGAACACCUGCGGCGAAGGCGGGUUGCUGGGCUGACACUGACGCUGAUGCGCGAAAGCUAGGGGAGCGAACGGG
rnacentral:rRNA from 1 species